UUGGAGGGCAAGUCUGGUGCCAAGCAGCCGCGGUAAUUCCAGCUCCAAUAGCGUAUAUUAAAGUUGUUGUGGUUAAAAAGCUCGUAGUUGAACCUUGGGCCUGGCUGGCCGGUCCGCCUCACCGCGUGCACUGGUCCGGCCGGGCCUUUCCCUCUGCGGAACCCCAUGCCCUUCACUGGGUGUGGCGGGGAAACAGGACUUUUACUUUGAAAAAAUUAGAGUGCUCAAGGCAGGCCUAUGCUCGAAUACAUUAGCAUGGAAUAAUAGAAUAGGACGUUGG
rnacentral:rRNA from 1 species